rnacentral:rRNA from 1 species
CCCUUAGAUGUCCUGGGCUGCACGCGCGCUACACUGAAGUGUCCAGUAAGCACCUAACCUCUUCCGAAAGGAACGGGUAACCUUUGCAAAGCACAUCGUGAUGGGGAUAGAUUAUUGCAAUUAUUAGUCUUGAACGAGGAAUUCCUAGUAAGCACAAGUCAUCAGCUUGUGUUGAUUACGUCCCUGCCCUUUGUACACACCGCCCGUCGCUCCUACCGAUUGAAUGUUCCGGUGAGCUCUUCGGACUGCGCGGUCUGCAGUUUCUGCGUUCCGUGCGGAAAGUUGCGCAAACCUUAACAUUUAGAGGAAGGAGAAGUCGUAACA